rnacentral:tRNA from 1 species
UGCGGGGUGGAGCAGUGGCAGCUCGUCGGGCUCAUAACCCGAAGGUCCCCAGUUCGAAUCUGGGCCCCGCUA